CUCUCUAGUGACCGAUAGUGAACCAGUACCGUGAGGGAAAGGUGAAAAGCACCCCGGAAGGGGAGUGAAAUAGAACCUGAAACCGUGUGCUUACAAGUAGUCAGAGCCCGUUAAUGGGUGAUGGCGUGCCUUUUGUAGAAUGAACCGGCGAGUUACGAUUUGAUGCAAGGUUAAGCAGUAAAUGUGGAGCCGUAGCGAAAGCGAGUCUGAAUAGGGCGUUUAGUAUUUGGUCGUAGACCCGAAACCAGGUGAUCUACCCUUGGUCAGGUUGAAGUUCAGGUAACACUGAAUGGAGGACCGAACCGACUUACGUUGAAAAGUGAGCGGAUGAACUGAGGGUAGCGGAGAAAUUCCAAUCGAACCUGGAGAUAGCUGGUUCUCUCCGAAAUAGCUUUAGGGCUAGCCUCAAGUGAUGAUUAUUGGAGGUAGAGCACUGUUUGGACGAGGGGCCCCUCUCGGGUUACCGAAUUCAGACAAACUCCGAAUGCCAAUUAAUUUAACUUGGGAGUCAGAACAUGGGUGAUAAGGUCCGUGUUCGAAAGGGAAACAGCCCAGACCACCAGCUAAGGUCCCAAAAUAUAUGUUAAGUGGAAAAGGAUGUGGCGUUGCCCAGACAACUAGGAUGUUGGCUUAGAAGCAGCCAUCAUUUAAAGAGUGCGUAAUAGCUCACUAGUCGAGUGACACUGCGCCGAAAAUGUACCGGGGCUAAACAUAUUACCGAAGCUGUGGAUUGUCCUUUGGACAAUGGUAGGAGAGCGUUCUAAGGGCGUUGAAGCAUGAUCGUAAGGACAUGUGGAGCGCUUAGAAGUGAGAAUGCCGGUGUGAGUAGCGAAAGACGGGUGAGAAUCCCGUCCACCGAUUGACUAAGGUUUCCA
rnacentral:rRNA from 1 species